CUUCCUUGUCAUCUCGUUUUAUUGUAAUGAUGAUGUUUACAUGAAUUUUUGUGAUUUGUGAAAUUGUUUUGAAUCAUUACUAAUUUUCUGUCAGUCUUAUAUUUUCAGGGACGAGGGACGACACGGGAAGUCUGAGGUCGGCCAACAGAAGAGGAGACCAUUUCGCAGCUAUGAGCAGUAGCCAACAUUGGCCAAAGGGAGGGCUGUUAGGCAAGCCUGGAUCCCACUGUGGGCUACAACUUAAUCGUGUGUCAGCAGGGAUCGACAGCAUCCAUCCGUGGUAGAAACGGAGAGAACACGGAAAGAGUAUCACCAGCCAAAAGAGGAGGAGUAGUCCAUUGCCAAGCUUUGAGCAAUAGCCAACGUUGGCCAAAGGGGAGGAUGGUUAGGCAAGCCUUGAUCCGACUGUGAGCUACAGCUCCAUCAUGUGUCAUCAGAAGUUUGGAGAGUAGAGAUCUACUGCAUUCAUCCAUUGAGGAAAAGAAGAUGAGACCAUCCUGUGGAAGAAGAAUUCACAAUGAAGAGAUAGACUGCAGGCCAGCC